CCCUUAGAUGUUCUGGGCCGCACGCGCGCUACACUGACGGGGACAACGAGUUUGCAACCUGCGCCGGUAGGUGUGGGUAAUCUUUUGAGCCCUCGUCGUGCUGGGGCUAGAUCUUUGUAAUUUUCGAUCUCAAACGAGGAAUUCCUAGUAAGCGUGAUUCAUCAGAUCGCGUUGAUUACGUCCCUGCCCUUUGUACACACCGCCCGUCGCUACUACCGAUUGAAUGGUUUAGUGAGGUACUCGGACUGAGCCUCAGAAGAUUCACGUCUUUUGUGCUGCUCGGGAAGAUUCCCAAACUUGAGCGUUUAGAGGAAGUAAAAGUCGUAACA
rnacentral:rRNA from 1 species